AGAGCAGCCGGUAACGUUGCUGGACCGGGACGCACGCUCAGCUGAGGAGGACCCCCAAAGGGGCAGCCUUCUUUAAGCAACAUCUCAAGUGUGGCCUAAUGCUCUGUGUAACUGAUUUUUAUUGUUAGGUAUAUUGACCAAAGUUUAACGAGAAGAACUGUGAUCAGCUGGGAGGAUUGCUGCAAGGAAUGGAAUUAGCUCAUAGCUUACUGCUGAAUGAAGAAGCAUACAAUCAACUAGGUGAAGUUCAGAAGGCAGAGUUUAUUUUUGAGUGGUUGAGAUACUUGGAGAAGCUCUUGUUGGCAACCAGCAGGAAUGAUGUAAGGGAGAAACAGAAGACUCUUGUUGAACAGCUCCUGUCUUUGUUGAACAGCUCCCCAGGGCCUCCUACCCGCAAACUGCUUGCUAAGAAUCUAGCCAUACUUUAUAGUAUUGGAGACACAUUCUCCG
rnacentral:lncRNA from 1 species